rnacentral:tRNA from 1 species
CCUGGUGGCUCAGAGGUUAAAGUCUCUGCCUGGAAUGCAGGAGACCAGGGUUUGAUCCCUGGGUCAGGA